CAGAGACUGCAAGCGUUAUUCGGAUUCACUGGGCGUAAAGGGUGCGCAGGCGGCCAAGUGUGUAGGCGUGAAAGCCCGGGGCUUAACCCCGGAAUUGCACCUAAAACUACAUGGCUAGAGCAUUGGAGAGGGUAGCGGAAUUCACGGUGUAGCAGUGAAAUGCGUAGAUAUCGUGAGGAACACCAGAGGCGAAGGCGGCUACCUGGACAAUCGCUGACGUUCAGGCACGAAAGCGUGGGGAGCAAAAGGGAUUAGAUACCCCUGUAGUCCACGCCCUAAACGGUGCACACUAGGUCUUGGCGGAUUCGACCCCACCAGGGCCCAAGCUAACGCGUUAAGUGUGCCGCCUGAGGACUACGGUCGCAAGACUA
rnacentral:rRNA from 1 species